AAUUCCUUGUGAGUUAGGUAUUUUUCUCCAAGUUUCAAAAUCCAUCUCGAGGCCGCCUUCUUCUUCUCUCAAACCUCGCCAUGGCCCGCAUCAAGCAUACUGUCAAGCGCCCCACCGCUUGGGUCCCCUCGUCGCCUCCGGCACAUCCUCCGGCCUCUGGCCCAUCUCGGCGGUCCUCUCGCCUUCACCGCCCCGAACACAACACUGGGCCUCCUACCUCGGUGGAGCAUCCUUAGGAUUUGGAGACCUCCCAAUCUCGGUCCACCGCCUAGGCACCGCCGUCCCCUUCUGGGUCCGGAAACUCCUCCGCCGCCGCUGCUCAUUCCGGUUACGCUGCCUCCGAGUCCCUGCAUGUCUAUUCUUUACCUCCAACUCUGCUCCUUUUCUCAGUUCUGGAGGCUGAUCCCUGCGGAUAGAAAGAGAGUGGGAGAGAGGGAAAUGUGCUGUUUUAGGGAGAGCGAGGACAAAGAAAGGCAUCCUUGACAGCCACAGAAAUCUGAUUUCAGUGUGUAUCAUUGCCUCCUUCUUUCUUCAGAGCUGUAGUAUCAUCGCGUCCUGCUGGCUCUAUUCACCUAGAUGCAGUAGCUUUCUUUUCUCCAGAAGAGGUUCACCAAUGUAUUAAAAAACUGGAACUUGUUUUUUGGGCUCAGUUCUCUGGCCAAGCAUGUUUCGCACUGUGGUAUCGGGGUUCCGCCACCGUUGGGCACAAGGAAAUGAAAAGUUAAACAACAAGGCAAGC